UACGUAGGGGGCUAGCGUUGUCCGGAAUCAUUGGGCGUAAAGCGCGUGUAGGCGGUCCGAUAAGUCCGCUGUGAAAGUCGAGGGCUCAACCCUCGAAUGCCGGUGGAUACUGUCGGGCUUGAGUCCGGAAGAGGCGAGUGGAAUUCCUGGUGUAGCGGUGGAAUGCGCAGAUAUCAGGAGGAACACCAAUAGCGAAGGCAGCUCGCUGGGACGGUACUGACGCUAAGGCGCGAAAGCGUGGGGAGCGAACAGG
rnacentral:rRNA from 1 species